CAAAUUUCAAGGGAUGUAC
rnacentral:piRNA from 1 species